rnacentral:tRNA from 1 species
GCAGCGGUGGUUCAGUGGUAGAAUUCUUGCCUUCCCUGCAGGAGGCCUGGGUUUAAUUCCAGGCCAAUGCA